GACGAACGCUGGCGGCGUGCUUAACACAUGCAAGUCGAACGGAAAGGCCCCUUUGGGGGUACUCGAGUGGCGAACGGGUGAGUAACACGUGAGUAACCUGCCCUUGACUUCGGGAUAACUUCAGGAAACUGGGGCUAAUACCGGAUAGGAAUCCUUGCUGCAUGGUGGGGGUUGGAAAGCUUCGGCGGUUUUGGAUGGACUCGCGGCUUAUCAGCUUGUUGGUGGGGUAGUGGCUUACCAAGGCUUUGACGGGUAGCCGGCCUGAGAGGGCGACCGGCCACAUUGUGACUGAGAUACGGCCCAGACUCCUACGGGAGGCAGCAGUGGGGAAUAUUGCACAAUGGGCGGAAGCCUGAUGCAGCAACGCCGCGUGCGGGAUGACGGCCUUCGGGUUGUAAACCGCUUUCAGCAGGGGCGAAGCUUGUGGUGACGGUACCUGCAGAAGAAGCACCGGCUAACUACGUG
rnacentral:rRNA from 1 species